rnacentral:rRNA from 1 species
UACGUAGGUGACAAGCGUUGUCCGGAUUUACUGGGCGUAAAGAGCGCGCAGGCGGUCGAUCAAGUCGAGUGUGAAAGCCCCCGGCUCAACUGGGGAGGGUCAUUCGAUACUGAUCGACUCGAAGGCAGGAGAGGGUAGUGGAAUUCCCGGUGUAGUGGUGAAAUGCGUAGAUAUCUGGAGGAACACCGGUGGCGAAGGCGGCAUCCUGGACCAACACUGACGCUGAGUGAGCGAAAGCCAGGGGAGCAAACAGG